AACGAGCGCUGGCGGCAUGCCUAACACAUGCAAGUCGAACGAGACCUUCGGGUCUAGUGGCGCACGGGUGCGUAACGCGUGGGAACCUGCCCUUAGGUUCGGAAUAACUCCCCGAAAGGGGUGCUAAUACCGGAUAAUGUCUUCGGACCAAAGAUUUAUCGCCUUUGGAUGGGCCCGCGUUGGAUUAGCUAGUUGGUAGGGUAAAAGCCUACCAAGGCGACGAUCCAUAGCUGGUCUGAGAGGAUGAUCAGCCACACUGGGACUGAGACACGGCCCAGACUCCUACGGGAGGCAGCAGUGGGGAAUGUUGGACAAUGGGCGAAAGCCUGAUCCAGCAAUGCCGCGUGAGUGAUGAAGGCCUUAGGGUUGUAAAGCUCUUUUACCCGGGAUGAUAAUGACAGUACCGGGAGAAUAAGCUCCGGCUAACUCCGUG
rnacentral:rRNA from 1 species